rnacentral:rRNA from 1 species
GAUGGGGGACACUGUUGGGACCGCCUCUGCUAAAGAGAGGAAGGAAUGGGCAACGGUAGGUCAGCAUGCCCCGAAUUAUCUGGGCUACACGCGGGCUACAAUGGGUGGGACAAUGGGUAUCGACACCGAAAGGUGAAGGCAAUCUCCUAAACCCAUCCGUAGUUCGGAUUGUGGGCUGCAACUCGCCCACAUGAAGCUGGAAUCUGUAGUAAUCGUGUCUCAAAAUGGCACGGUGAAUAUGUCCCUGCUCCUU